rnacentral:lncRNA from 1 species
GAUGCUGGAGCAUAGCUUUGAACUCUUCUGAACCCAAUUAUACGCAGCCAUUUGACGGUACCAUGGUGGGACGAUGGAGGAACAGCGCCCUCUGAACUAGCAUACAGAGAGUUCAAGGAGGAGUUGACUGCAGCGGGUCUGGCAGCCAAUUCAGACAUGGAAGUGAGCUGCCAGUGGCACGGCUGUCUGCCAGCCUGAAGCGAGGAUGGGACCUGUUUUCCUUGAUGGAAGCAGACAUGACCCACCAGCCGCUAACGUUAGCUGGCUGUUCACACUCAUCAUCUUUAAAGCCUGCCAAGGUGACAAGAGAAAGUGAGAAUGUAAUUCCUGAAAGUAACCCUUAUCCCCAAGUUGUGUCCUGGAUGCUGGGCCGUUUAAUGAGACAUUGCUGCUGAGUCACAAGGAGAAGACAUGCCCCUUGCCCACCCUUCAGCCUUACAGGAGCCGUGACUGGACAUCUGUUCCUGUCACCUUGGGGUUCCUCCCAGCGCUUUCUCCUGCAAACACCUCGAGUGUGACACCUGGCUUCUCUGCACUGGCUCCCAUGGAACAAGUUCACCAACCUUGAUCUACUGAUGUGCCAUCUACCCGGAAGCAUAUUCUUUGGCCAUGAAGUUUGCGGAGGAGCACCUAUAUCUCCUGGACCCAGCAUCUUACUUUUCUUCCCUCUCUCCUCUUUUUGGCUUAAACUCUUCCAUUCCCAGCCCACACUUUCCUCCACAGAUCUAACCUUCCAAUAAAC